GGUAUGGCAUUACAUUUGUCAAGUUAUUUGAACAGACAUGCAUGAUUUUUGUGUGUAUAUUAUUAUUAUUAUUAUUUUUCAGGAUGACAUGAUCAGGAGGUGGUGGUGUUCUGUUCUCCUGGACAGCUUUACUCCGCAAAUAGCUCAACCACUGAGGGAAGGAACUUCACCAUUCACCAUGUCUUCAGGCAGAGUCCAGCAAAGCAGCUUCCCCUGGAAAUCCUCAUGGAAGUUAUUUUGUCAGCGGGUGACUCUGCAUAUUUGACACUUUCUCUGGUUUGCAGAUGGUUUAGGGAUGUGCUCCGAAGUUUUUUGGAAAGCGGCACAGUUUGCCUGGCUAGACAGUAAGAUUUCCCCGUUUAAUGCUCAUUCUCCAAUUGAGUUCAGACGGAUGUACAGCAUCAGGGAACACUUGCAGUGCAGAGCCCUUUUCAAGUUUAACCCACCAGGGUACAGGGAAGAGACCGGCGUGGUGAUCUUCUGGGCUUUUGUUUACACAGGAUUUUGUUCCAAGGACUGUUUUUUAUUUUUUAUUUUUAUUUUUUGUGGCAUGAAACACAUUUGUGUGUUAAGUUCAUUGAAGGGAAAUAGAGAAUGGACUGAGAUCAGCUGGUUUUGAUGUAUUAAUUGAUGUAAUUUAAAGUUAAACUUUGCAGUGUAUAAUGUUUUAAUAAAAAAGCUAUGGCAAA